rnacentral:lncRNA from 1 species
AGGUUUGGUGGGUCUGAAAUUGGAGCCCAGGUCCGGUUUAGCCGUUGCCUGCGCAGCCUCGCACUGACCCAGCCCGACUCCCCACCCCGCGGCGGUCACGCCACCCUGUACCAGGCCUGUGCUGGGCCGCUUCCAGCCUCGGCCGGCGGGGGGUGGGGAGGACGGGUGACCUCCGCCGCCGCCGCCGCCGCCGCCGCCGCCGCCGCCGCCGCCGCCCCCGCCAGCGCCCUCCCGGAGCUGGGCCUCGGCCAGCCCCGCCCCCUCCUGCCCCCCACUGCGCCCAGCUGCAGCGGUGGGGGUGGCCCGUGCCCCGGGGACUCCGGGGCAGGGCGGGAGGGCGCCACGGGACCCCCCGCGCGCGCGCGUAUACACCUGCGGGCCAGGUGCGAUCGCGCCCUCGCGGCGUCCCCCUCCGCGGCGGCCCGGGGCGGGGCGGGCCGGGGGCGGGGCCGUCCCGGGGAGGGCGGGGCGGGGGCGGGGCCACCGCCGAGGGCCGGGCGGCCGGGCGGUGGCGCGCGGAGGACGCACGGGCGGCGGGACGCAGGGACGGCGGCGGCCGGAGCGCGCGAGGCGAGUAGGACCCGAGGCUGGGUCGGGGUUCGAGUCCGGUUCGGGGUUGGAGCGUGGUCCCCGCCCCAGCCACCCCCAAUCCCGGGGCGCGACCUCGCCGUUCUCUACGAGCCUCUGCCUCCAACUCUACGUCUCGGUCCAAACUUUCCGGACUCUGAGAGCCUCGUUCCCCGCCUCUCUGUCCCCUCCCCGCCUUUGGCCCCGUCCCUGCCUCUCGCCCCCGGCCCCGUCCUCCUCCGCCUGCACCUCUCGCCCUGCCUCCGCCCCAUCCCUGCCGUCGCUCUGCUCCUCUCCGCCACCUCGGUCCUCUGUACCUCCUUCCCCCGCCCCGGCCCCCCUCGCCUCCUCCGCGGCCGAGCCGGGCCGGGCCCCAGACGGCGGGAAGGCGGCCCGGCCGGACGCCGGGCUGGGCCUCGGCCUGGCGGCUGGGCCGGCGUGGGGAGCGGCAGCUGUUUGCCAUUAGCCGGGGACCCCGCAGGCCCCGCCCCCUCCCUCCACGGGGCGGGGUCACCCUUGCCCCCAUCUUUGGGGCGGGGAGACCCCAGAGACGUCCAGCUUGGCUGGGAGUGGGGGCUGCAGGGAGACCCCGCGGCCAUUCGGGCCCCGGUCCCGCGGCCCCGCGCCCCGUUACCUGUUCCCUCUUGGAGUGUCCGCCUCGUUUUCUCCAUCUCUCUCCGACCCGGUGUUUCCUUUUUUAUACCCCAGGGUCCCACUCAGGGAGGGCGCCUUCAGCCACAGACACCUCCCCCAUCACGCUCCCCACCUCCAUCUGCGUUCUAG